rnacentral:rRNA from 1 species
UACGGAGGGUGCGAGCGUUGUCCGGAAUCACUGGGCGUAAAGGGCGCGUAGGCGGUUGGGGAAGUCCGUGGUGAAAGCUCGUGGCUCAACUGCGAGUCGGCCAUGGAUACUCCUUGGACUUGGGCACUGUAGAGGCGGGUGGAAUUCCGGGUGUAGCGGUGGAAUGCGUAGAGAUCCGGAAGAACACCAGUGGCGAAGGCGGCCCGCUGGGCAGUGGCUGACGCUGAGGCGGCGACAGCGUGGGGAGCAAACGAG